CCAGCCCUGUCCUACUCUCUAGCACUGAGGCGAUUUACAUUUUUCCUUCUUAUUUACAAGAUGAAGGACAAAGAGAAGUCAAAGUCCUCCUUGGGAGAUAGUGGGCUGAGUGUGGGAUCGGGGGUGCAACUGGUCAGAUGGAAUUCUGCUGCUCGCUAACUUAUUUCCCAGACCUGCAGCCCCUUCCCCGCUUCUUCAGGGUUUGGCAUAGGGGAAUCUGUCUGCCUCUCCCAGGAGGUGCAUUUGAUUCUGUCUAUUCACUCGUCUCCCUGGAAUUUGAGUAUCCUUUCUUGCACUGAGCAUUGGUGUGUUCCCAUACCUAGAUGCCAAGGCCUUUGAGUGGUCCAUGUCUUUUUAAUCUCUGUGUCCCAGCUCACAGCACAACACUUGGUACAUAGUAGGCAGGCAGGAAGGAAGGAAGGAAGGAAAAAGGAAAGGGAAAGAAGAGGAAAAGAAGACAGACCCCCUGCAGUUGGAAGUCUUCAUUGGUUAGCUAACAUUCUCAAAUUCCUGAUGCUGUAUGUGGCCUCCAAACAAAAUUAAUCAGCAGAUGUACAAAGAAGCAUGAUGCCCAGCUCUGUGCUGAGUCCUGCCCAUGAGUUUCCCGUAGUUUAACGGUUGUUGUUACUGUUGUUUGCAGAAAUAACUGACAAUGUGUAUAGAGAACCCAGUGUUCCCAAGAGCAAUCCUUCUUCAUGAAUAUCAACUAGAAGGAGAUGGAAUCAGAUGGCCUUGGAGAAUAAUCUCAGUGCUCUUAUUUAGUAUAGGCUACUUUAUCGCUCAGGACUCAGUUUUCUGAUAUAGAAAGCAGGGUUGAUAACAAUCCUGACCUGAGGACACUACUGCGACUAUUAUAAGGAUAACACACAUUCACUGAUUAAAGACGGUGACCACACCAUGAGUGGUCAACAAGUUGUACCUGCUUUGUGUUGUAAUGUUAGUUAGGCAUUUAAUCCAGUAGCUGAUCAAUAAUGGUUUUCACUAACCAGGCUACACUGGUCAACAUUUGAG
rnacentral:lncRNA from 1 species